AUUCUCUGGUCUCUCUUCAGAUCGUAAAAAUCUUUUUGUCUUUUUCUAAAGAUAUCUGUGGAGAGGAGAACCAUGAGUUUUUGCAAAUUUUUAAAGGUUCUAUUCUGUAGAACU